AACGUAGGAGACAAACGUUAUCCGGAGUUACUGGGCGUAAAGGGCGUGUAGGUGGUUUCGUAAGUCUGGCGUGAAAUUUUUCGGCUUAACCGGGAAAGGUCGUCGGAUACUGCGGGACUAGAGGACGGUAGAGGCGUGUGGAAUUCCGGGUGUAGUGGUGAAAUGCGUAGAGAUCCGGAGGAACACCAGUGGCGAAGGCGACACGCUGGGCCGUACCUGACACUGAUGCGCGACAGCAUGGGGAGCAAACGAG
rnacentral:rRNA from 1 species